AUCAGUGGUACUUUCCGCUGCCUGGAGUUGAAGUUGACCAUGCCUGUCAUUUCAGGCCGUGGUCAAGGGAGAAUUUACAUAUAUUCGCUGAUAGGAUAACAGCUUAACAGGCGGACCAAUCCUCAAACACUUGGGAGCGCAAUGUCCAUUUUACUGCGGUAGUGUUAGCAAGACAUUGUGGCCGUGUACAGAAUAUGCUCACCCAGUCAGAAAAGGAAAUCAAGGCACUCGGGAUGUGUGAGCGACUAAUCACACUCUGACAGGUUUUCCAUGCCAUGCAACAGCACGAGCAUAACACUAAGUGCCAUCGGUCCAAAUCAAUGCAUGGCUCGCUCAAUGUUGGCGUACGCCUUCUUAGCGUUGGACACUCAACUCGAGUGCUUCAAAGUUUAAGUGGAUGAAGAGAAUUAAUGACGCCUCUGCGGGAGAAGUGUUAUUUCAGCGCCUCAACGUCACUGGUGAGUAAACGUUCAGACAACAAUC
rnacentral:lncRNA from 1 species